rnacentral:rRNA from 1 species
GACGAACCGAGCGAACGUUAUUCGGAAUUACUGGGCGUAAAGGGCUCGUAGGCGGCCAACUAAGUCCGACGUGAAAUCCCCAAGCUUAACUUGGGAACUGCGUCGGAUACCGGAUGGCUUGAAUUCGGGAGAGGGAUGCAGAAUUCCAGGUGUAGCGGUGAAAUGCGUAGAUAUCUGGAGGAAUACCGGUGGCGAAGGCGGCAUCCUGGACCGACAUUGACGCUGAUGAGCGAAAGCUAGGGGAGCAAACGGG